AACUUUUUUAAUCGUUAGAAAAUUACAUAAAUAGCUAGAAUUCGAUAUUGUGAGUGUAUAUUGACUAGUUCUUACUUCAUUUAACUACUUUGUGAUUGAUUGGCUCUGAAUUGCAGGUUUAGGCUUGUUCUUGACGUUGGAAGUGUGCUUCGGAGCGAGGUGAGUCUCCUUUCUAACCUUGUAAGAGGGAAUUGUCCCCUUAGGAUUAGUGAACAAAUAAUUAUUGCUAAAUGCGGGGGCUACAUACUCACCAAGUGACGAGAGUUUGUGCGUAGCUACUACUAUGUUGAUUGUUCGGGUAGUUUAGGACCCACAUCACGCUUUAUUUGUGAAAGUCUUCAUACUAAUUGUCUAAUGAGAUCACUUAGGAUGUGUUAGAGACUUGAAAGAACAUAAAAUCAACUUGCACACUUGUUGAACAUUGUAAGGCAUACUUGACUCUAAAUGUGCCUUUUGUGCAUAUUCUUGAUAUUGCCUAAUAUUUUUGGAUCGCGGCGAUCGCCUCGGUAUGAAUAGAUUCAUCUAUUGGUGCGUCGCCGACCCUCAGCAAGUGCACAGUUUCUUUCUACUGGUUCGGGC
rnacentral:lncRNA from 1 species